rnacentral:rRNA from 1 species
UACGUAGGGUGCAAGCGUUGUCCGGAAUUAUUGGGCGUAAAGAGCUCGUAGGCGGUUUGUCGCGUCUGCUGUGAAAACCCGAGGCUCAACCUCGGGCCUGCAGUGGAUACGGGCAGACUAGAGUGCGGUAGGGGAGAUUGGAAUUCCUGGUGUAGCGGUGGAAUGCGCAGAUAUCAGGAGGAACACCAAUGGCGAAGGCAGAUCUCUGGGCCGUAACUGACGCUGAGGAGCGAAAGCAUGGGGAGCGAACAGG